rnacentral:lncRNA from 1 species
GUCUUCCAUUGGAAGGAUCUAGACUUGGCUAGAGAAAUGCUGCCAUACGUGCGCCAAAUCAUGGCCUGCGUAUCGCCCAGUCAUCGCCCGUAUGGCAUAACCUCUUAGAAAAUGGCGGGGCGUGACAAACUCCCCCACCUAUUGCGUCGACAUCCUCGUCGACUCUUCGUGGAAUGCCCGGAUCUGAUCUUCAAAUUGCCAAAGCGCCUCCUUUGGCUCCCAGCUUGCCUCGCUUUCC